rnacentral:rRNA from 1 species
UACGAAGGGGGCGAGCGUUGUUCGGAAUCACUGGGCGUAAAGGGCGCGUAGGCGGCCCUCCUUGUCGCGUGUGAAAGCCCCGGGCUCAGCCCGGGAAGUGCGCUCGAAACUGCGCGGCUCGAGUGCCGGAGGGGAGAGUGGAAUUCCUGGUGUAGCGGUGAAAUGCGUAGAUAUCAGGAGGAAUACCGGUGGCGAAAGCGACUCUCUGGACGGCAACUGACGCUGAGGCACGAAAGCGUGGGGAGCAAACAGG